UUUUUUUCGACCCAACCACACCUACAUAUGCUCCUAAGAACAAAUAGAUGGCCAAAAUAUCCAUUUUGACGUUUUCAGAGUUGAUUACAAUGAAUUUUCUCAUGACUUCUGUAUGUAUGUGCGUUGUCGAAUAACUCAAGAACUGUAUGUCCUAUUAAGAUUCUCCCCUUCUUAACUAACAGUAUUUGUUCCAGCUUCAUCAAGUAAAGCAACAUUACCUCCAGAGGAAGCCCUCCCCUUCAAACUGCCAAUAAAAACACUGCAGGGCUUAUAUGAACUAGAUAAUGAGGUGCAAAACAGCGCUGUUGCUGAAAGUUUGACUAAAAGUCUUUCCAUUUGUGGAGGAACCACUGUGUCAGCAACUGUAAGGAGAAUACAAGGAAAACUGAUAGAUAGUUCAGUUGCACAACAUUUUAGCUGGUUGGGGGCAAAGGGGAAAAGGGUGUUUUCCCAGCUACGUCUUAGCCCCAUUAUAUUUGCUGCAACAAGAAAGAAUCCAAUGGUGGAAAAUGCUGCUACUGAUGCAGCAACAGAGAUAUCGAUAAAGAACUGGUUAAGGCAUGCUUGGAGAAGCACCAAGACAUUGCCAGUUAUGUCUCAGUCGUU